AAAAGCACAACAAUAAGUCGGCCAGCUCAUUGUCGCGUCCAGGCAUGUCUCGCGUUGCUUUCGCUGCUCUUCUCUCCCUCGCUGUGGCGCUUCUCAGCCGCCAUGUGUACCGCCGAGUCAACCGGCAGCGACUGCAGGCAGGCGCCGUCGCUCUCAUCACCGGCGGCGGCUCCGGGCUGGGGAUGGAGCUGGCCAAGAUCUUCGCCGUCUCUCACUGCGAAAUUGUGCUGGUGGGCCGCAACGAGGCGGCGCUGAAGACAGCGGCGCAGGUGUGCAGGGAGGCAGGAGCACCGCGGGUCGAGUACAUCCAAGCAGACAUCAGCAAGGUGGAGGGCACCGAUCGCGUUCGCAGCGAGUACGCUCGCCUCUACAAGGACACGGCGAGGAGUCUGGCCCCCCCUCUCAAGUACCUUGUGCUCAACGCCGGAGCAGGCGCCAUUGCCCCUUUCACGACAGAGCCCGCCUUUGAGCAAAUGUGUCAUGCCAUGAUGAGCAUCAACUACUUCGCGAACGUGCGAUUGCUGCAGGCCUUCCUUCCGCAGCUCACGCAGAAUCACUCUUCGAGCUCGCCCAGUCGCAUCGUUGUCAUGUCCUCUCUUGCUGGUGUGCUGCCGUCCAUCUUGCGCAGUGCGUAUACAGCGUCGAAGCACGCCAUUCAGGGCUUUAUGAACGCGCUGCGUGGUGAGACGGCGGUGCGCAUCACGCUCUGCUGCCCCGGCUACGUGGACACGGACUUCCACAGUCGCGUGUUGACAAACGACGGCAAGCCUCUGAGAGGCAAUCAGCGUCGCGGCGUCUCACCCGCUGUGUGCGCGCGCCAGUGCAUGGACGGCGUCUUGUGUGACGAUGCCGAGAUUGUCAUGACGACGGGCGGGAAGCUCGCCUAUCGCCUGCGGCCCUUCCUGACGGGAAUCAUCGAUGUACUGGUGAAGCGCAAGAGCCUCCAGUCUCUGGAACACCACUGAUGUGGGGCGAGCGAGCAGCUGCGCUCGGUCGCGAAACGCGUGGCGUACCCGCUUCGUUGAGUCGACGUCGGCGCCUGCGUGUGCAUGUGGGUCUUGACUGUCAGUUGCGUAUCACCGGGGAAUCUUCGCAUCUCAGCUUUCAGUACAUAUUUUUUUCUCCUGCCCCAUGCCCCCACACACACACACACUGCCAGCGGUGGACAAUAAAAGCGGCGACGAGGAGAGAGAUGCAUUCAGAGAGAAGGGUGUGGCGGCAAUGCUGCAGCACCCACUCGCUUUCGGUGUCUGGUGCUCUCGUUCUUCUCUCAUUCUUCUCUCAUUCUUGGCCAUGCAUCGCAUUUUCGUUCGCUGCACGUAUUUCUUGCCAGGUGCCUUCUGUGCGCGUGCUUGUGCGUCUUUUACCUCCUUGAUCUCGCAAAGGUUUGCGGUGUCGAGAAGUAGCCUCAUCAUCCUUUGCAGGAGUCCAAGAAAAGGGAGACGACACAAACG
rnacentral:misc_RNA from 1 species